CUAAAUCGGAUUGGAUUCAGUUAAAUCUACAUUUCUCAAGGUCUCUAACAUCGAGAUUUGAAAUAUCUUUCAUGUAAAUACCUUCUUUGUCAUGUGACUUGUAUAUAUUCAGAAUCGUACCUACGAACAAUGUCUUUGAACAAUGGCACAAGCAACGUGGUCUCUUUCUGUAAAACAUAGCACUCUUUAUUUCAGCCACAGCAAAGAUCCCGAACCACGUGCAGUCAGCAGAGUUACAGCGUCUGGUUACCGUCUUGCAGUUACGAUACAGAAUAUGUGCACAUAGCUUUCAAUGACCAGACGAAAAAAAGAAUUCAUUUCAAGUAUGUUGAGAAGAAAACGACCCAUCUCUGAAAAAAUCACCUCACCCAAGAAAAUACGACUCA